rnacentral:rRNA from 1 species
GACGAACCGAGCGACCGUUGUUCGGAAUCACUGGGCUUAAAGGGCGCGUAGGCGGGCUGCCGCGUCCGGGGUGAAAUCCCACGGCUCAACCGUGGAACGGCCCCGGGUACGGGCGGCCUCGAGGAAGGUAGGGGCGUGCGGAACUGUGGGUGGAGCGGUGAAAUGCGUUGAGAUCCACAGGAACUCCGGUGGCGAAGGCGGCACGCUGGACCUUUUCUGACGCUGAGGCGCGAAAGCCAGGGGAGCGAACGGG